AUUCAAGGGCUUCAACACAUACAGGCCACACAGCAUGAGAACAGCCUGAUCACAAUACAGACAUCUGACCAUGAUGUCAAACUUUUACAGGAUUAGUUUAUUUAGAUCUUGGAGCCAAGAAGACCAAAUCAAGGAUACACCCUCCAAGAGGAGAUUAUUCAUUCAGCGCAGGGAGGCCCAGAUGGUUAUCAGGAGACUUCUGGCUCGCCGUGCACCUCAUCUGAGGCACAGGCAAAAAUAGAAGCAGAGGAUUAGGCCACACCUGCAGCCUGAGACGGGCAGACAGGACCUGCCUCAUGUGGGUCCCUCAGGCGGAUGAGUCCCAGACUGAUCUGACAGUGUGACAGGCCUCAGCAUGAUGCUCAACCUAAAAUAAUCACACUAUGUCUCCACAUGUGUGCUUUAUUGUUUUACUCUCAUUAGAGGUGUUUGCUAAGGCAAGUGUCAAAUCACUCAACUUGUACGUGAGUUUAUUGUAUUGCCACGAAAUAAACAAAUUAAAAAGAUAACGGCGACUUUUUUAAAAAAUUUUAUCUGAAAGUUCUGACUUUUCCCCAAUAUGUUUAAUUCUUACAAUUUUGAUUUUCUUCUCAGAACUGCGAGUUUGUAACUUGCAAUUCUGACUUUUUAUUUCUCAAUUCUUUUAAAUCUCGCAAUUCUGAAAAAAAAAAAUAAAAAGUGAUAAUUGCA